rnacentral:rRNA from 1 species
GAUGAACGCUGGCGGCGUGCCUAAUACAUGCAAGUCGAGCGAACGGACGAGAAGCUUGCUUCUCUGAUGUUAGCGGCGGACGGGUGAGUAACACGUGGAUAACCUACCUAUAAGACUGGGAUAACUUCGGGAAACCGGAGCUAAUACCGGAUAAUAUUUUGAACCGCAUGGUUCAAAAGUGAAAGACGGUCUUGCUGUCACUUAUAGAUGGAUCCGCGCUGCAUUAGCUAGUUGGUAAGGUAACGGCUUACCAAGGCAACGAUGCAUAGCCGACCUGAGAGGGUGAUCGGCCACACUGGAACUGAGACACGAUCCAGACUCCUACGGGAGGCAGCAGUAGGGAAUCUUCCGCAAUGGGCGAAAGCCUGACGGAGCAACGCCGCGUGAGUGAUGAAGGUCUUCGGAUCGUAAAACUCUGUUAUUAGGGAAGAACAUAUGUGUAAGUAACUGUGCACAUCUUAACGGUACCUAAUCAGAAAGCCACGGCUAACUACGUGCCAGCAGCCGCGGUAAUACGUAGGUGGCAAGCGUUAUCCGGAAUUAUUGGGCGUAAAGCGCGCGUAGGCGGUUUUUUAAGUCUGAUGUGAAAGCCCACGGCUCAACCGUGGAGGGUCAUUGGAAACUGGAAAACUUGAGUGCAGAAGAGGAAAGUGGAAUUCCAUGUGUAGCGGUGAAAUGCGCAGAGAUAUGGAGGAACACCAGUGGCGAAGGCGACUUUCUGGUCUGUAACUGACGCUGAUGUGCGAAAGCGUGGGGAUCAAACAGGAUUAGAUACCCUGGUAGUCCACGCCGUAAACGAUGAGUGCUAAGUGUUAGGGGGUUUCCGCCCCUUAGUGCUGCAGCUAACGCAUUAAGCACUCCGCCUGGGGAGUACGACCGCAAGGUUGAAACUCAAAGGAAUUGACGGGGACCCGCACAAGCGGUGGAGCAUGUGGUUUAAUUCGAAGCAACGCGAAGAACCUUACCAAAUCUUGACAUCCUUUGACAACUCUAGAGAUAGAGCCUUCCCCUUCGGGGGACAAAGUGACAGGUGGUGCAUGGUUGUCGUCAGCUCGUGUCGUGAGAUGUUGGGUUAAGUCCCGCAACGAGCGCAACCCUUAAGCUUAGUUGCCAUCAUUAAGUUGGGCACUCUAAGUUGACUGCCGGUGACAAACCGGAGGAAGGUGGGGAUGACGUCAAAUCAUCAUGCCCCUUAUGAUUUGGGCUACACACGUGCUACAAUGGACAAUACAAAGGGCAGCGAAACCGCGAGGUCAAGCAAAUCCCAUAAAGUUGUUCUCAGUUCGGAUUGUAGUCUGCAACUCGACUACAUGAAGCUGGAAUCGCUAGUAAUCGUAGAUCAGCAUGCUACGGUGAAUACGUUCCCGGGUCU